UACGUAGGCAGCAAGCGUUGUUCGGAAUUACUGGGCGUAAAGCGUGCGUAGGCGGUUCUCCAAGUCCGUUGUGAAAGCCCCGGGCUCAACCUGGGAAUGGCAGUGGAAACUAGGGGACUGGAAUCUGGCAGAGGGGGGUGGAAUGCCGCGUGUAGCAGUGAAAUGCGUAGAGAUGCGGCGGAACACCGAUGGCGAAGGCAGCCCCCUGGGCUGAGAUUGACGCUCAGGCACGAAAGCGUGGGGAGCGAUCCGG
rnacentral:rRNA from 1 species